rnacentral:rRNA from 1 species
GAUGAACGCUGGCGGCGUGCCUAAUACAUGCAAGUCGAGCGAACGGACGAGAAGCUUGCUUCUCUGAUGUUAGCGGCGGACGGGUGAGUAACACGUGGAUAACCUACCUAUAAGACUGGGAUAACUUCGGGAAACCGGAGCUAAUACCGGAUAAUAUUUUGAACCGCAUGGUUCAAAAGUGAAAGACGGUCUUGCUGUCACUUAUAGAUGGAUCCGCGCUGCAUUAGCUAGUUGGUAAGGUAACGGCUUACCAAGGCAACGAUGCAUAGCCGACCUGAGAGGGUGAUCGGCCACACUGGAACUGAGACCCGGUCCAGACUCCUACGGGAGGCAGCAGUAGGGAAUCUUCCGCAAUGGGCGAAAGCCUGACGGAGCAACGCCGCGUGAGUGAUGAAGGUCUUCGGAUCGUAAAACUCUGUUAUUAGGGAAGAACAUAUGUGUAAGUAACUGUGCACAUCUUGACGGUACCUAAUCAGAAAGCCACGGCUAACUACGU